rnacentral:rRNA from 1 species
UACGAAAGGGGCUAGCGUUGCUCGGAAUUACUGGGCGUAAAGGGCGCGUAGGCGGAUAGUUUAGUCAGAGGUGAAAGCCCAGGGCUCAACCUUGGAAUUGCCUUUGAUACUGGCUAUCUUGAGUUCGGGAGAGGUGAGUGGAAUGCCGAGUGUAGAGGUGAAAUUCGUAGAUAUUCGGCGGAACACCAGUGGCGAAGGCGACUCACUGGCCCGAUACUGACGCUGAGGCGCGAAAGCGUGGGGAGCAAACAGG